GGAAAAAAGAAGGACAGGAGGAUGCAAGGGGCCAGCCACCCUGCCACACAGCCAGCCAUGGCGCAAGAAGGCAAGAAAGACAUCUAAGAUAGAGAAAGACACCCAGGACCCAUCAGAAGAUCCCAUCUUCAAGAUGUUCAAUGGAUGGUUUUUCAAUAGGACAGUAAAUUUAUGGGCAAGAAGUGACAAGGGAUAAUAGGCUUUGACCCAAACACCUAGGAAGAUUCGCUGUCAUCCUAUACUCCUCAAACGUGCACCAGGUACAGCCUUUGAUAGUGUCUGCACCACCUGUGGACCAGUAAUUGACUCCUGUGCUGGCUUCUUCCCACCUUGGGUCCUGAAGCUGAGCCUGCGACUCCUCCAUCUACAGCAUCCCAUGGGCACUUGGCCUUCACUCACCAAAAUUGUGCAAUUGGAAGCCACUGCCUACAGCACUCCCGUUGAGCCUUUGUACUGCCAAACUCCAGCUACUGAGUCCUAAAGCCCAGCCUGGAGUUCUCUCAGCCUGGCCACCCGGAUGACCUCCUAACUGCUGUGGUGGCAGAGAACAAAGGAAUUUAUUCCGGUUCUGCAUCAAAGCGCCAAGGUGUGAGGUUGGUCCUAGAUGGCUUCUUGCAUCCCUGAUGGCUGCUGUGCCUCUCUAAGUCAUCUAUUCCCUGGGGCCAUCUCAGCCUUCAACUCUAUUGUCUCCCACGGAUUCAGAGCACCCCAAAUCCACAAUGAUUUUGAUUUUACUGAUGUUGGAAGAAGCUGGGAAGUACAGAUGCUUUAUGUGUCCACACACAGGCAAAAGGCAAACCAGUUCCCUGCUGCUCACCAGGACUCGACCCUAGUGACCUGUCAUCCUGCUUCCUAACUAAUAUCAGUACCCUGGGUGGUCAAUGUCAACAUGUGGGAUUUUAUGUGUAUGAAUGCACGCCUGCAUGCAUGUACAGUGUGGUGCCUGCAGAGGUCAGAAGAGGGUGUGGAUCCCUUGAGCAUCAUGGGGAUGGUGGGAACUGAAUCUGGGUCCUCUGCAAGGAUGCCAUGAGCCCCAAUAUGUGGAUUUUGGAGGCCACGGCAACCAAACAUGAAGACAAACUCUUGUUUGUCUCUUUUCUGUGGUGAUAGGCUGAGAUCAUCUUUGUGUGAGCUGUUUCUCUUCAGGACUGGAUCAAUCUUGUAUAGAUGUGGGUGGCCUUGGAUUUACAGAGUUCUGUUUACCUCUUAUUCCUGAGUCCUAGGAUUAAAGGUGUGUACCACCA